rnacentral:tRNA from 1 species
UAAGUCUUAGUGUAAUUAACACUUAAAGUUUACACCUUUACAAUACCUGUUAGGUAGAUUUAU